UGAGGAAUAUUGGUCAAUGGAGGCAACUCUGAACCAGCCAUGCCGCGUGCAGGAAGAAGGUUCUAUGGAUCGUAAACUGCUUUUGUACAGGAAGAAAUUACCCCUCGUGAGGGAGCUUGACAGUACUGUAAGAAUAAGGAUCGGCUAACUCCGUGCCAGCAGCCGCGGUAAUACGGAGGAUCCAAGCGUUAUCCGGAAUCAUUGGGUUUAAAGGGUUCGUAGGCGGAUUAGUAAGUCAGGGGUGAAAGUU
rnacentral:rRNA from 1 species